rnacentral:lncRNA from 1 species
GGUUCUAUUUUAAAUAGUUCGUAGUUGUGCACAAGCAUAUUGAUUUUAGAUUCUUUUACUUGGUUUGUACUUUUGUGUGUGACUUCUAACCUAUCCCAAAUUUCUUUAGCUGAAUUGCAUGUAGAAAUGCGAUUAAAUUCAUUAGCAUCCAAAGCACAAUAUAAAAUAUUCAUGGCUUUAGCAUUGAGCUGAGCUAUUUUCUUAUCAAUUUUAUAUCAUUCACCU